ACAGCGUGGACUCACUCGCAAGGGGAGUGCCCCCUCCUCUUCCCCCCACCCAGUAGGUUUCCUGCUAGUCUUUCCAUUUUCUCAGCGAGCGCCUGUCAUUAUUCACAGCUGUCAUUUCCUGCUCCCCCCUCCUCCGUGCAGUGAUCUUUCUUCUGUAGCAAUUAAAAAUAACAUAUUAAUAUAAAAUACAAAUAGGGGUUAAAAAACAUAAACUAUCACAUCUCUGCUUAGAGACACGUAACUUAUUCAACCCAGUUAGCUGAUAUUCAAACCAUGAUUUCGAUUCUCGGGUUGUCUUGCCGUUCAGACUCCCUGCCGGGAGAUGAGGUUGUAGUCCAAAACAUUUACAAAAUCGAAAAAAGUGGCUUCAGCAGCAUUUAUAAUGAGUCUCAAGGAUUGUCUGCCGGUUUUAUUUAUUUAAAAUGUGAAAUUCACAUGUUAAAACUGAACAAACAAAACAAAGACCUCUUAGAAACCUUUAUCACAGAUAUCAUAAAAGCAGAAUAGCCUUGCUCAUAUUACGUUGCUAUAAUAAUACAUUUUCUCCCUCCUAAAUAAUAUUUCCGCACCACCUAUCCUACCUCUGAGCAUUUAUUUGCUGUAUAUUUAUUUGUUGGGCAUUUAUUUGCCUUAAAGGCUGCAUUGUGGGAAAACAGGAGAAAGGAGAGAACAAAAACAACAAAACAAAUGAAGAGUGAAGCUAUUCAUAUUACUUUUCUUUUAGCCAUCAAUUCAUAGUGAGUAAACCAAAACUAUUUGUUGUUAAAUAGCAAAUUCUGUGCUUGUAUGCAUUAGGAAAAUAUUGAAAAUAAAGCAGUGUAAAUAAUACCAUUAUAUAAAAAUGCAGUGAGUCUAUCUUGAAUACUGUGUUUAGGUUUCAGUACUGCAUCUGAAAAAGGAUCUUAGAAAGCUAAAAAAAAAAAAGGAAUGAUCAACAUUUUAGGAUGCUCUCUUGUUCCUUGUAUACUUUUAUUUUUUUUUAAUUCUACUGUCUGUACCAUAUGUGGGUAUGUCAUUUAGAAUUUCUGAACUGGAGCAAAAUAUACCCUAUAAAUUACAGGUACAACUUUUAACAAGAAGAAAGGUAAAUAAGAGGAAAUCUUGGAUUUUCUUUUCCUUCUUUCUUUCCUGUUAAAAGCUAGAUAUCUACACAUUUGAGGGGAUGCCUUCAACAUCUACUAUUGUUAAGGAAAAGAACCUAUGUUUGAUUUUAUAAUAGAAGUAUACAAUAUUAAAUGUCAGAGAUUCGUAAUUGAUAAAAGGUACAACUUAUUUACAUAAUAUAUAAUUAAAUGUGGUAUGUGCCUCCAUCAAAUACAGUGAUAAAUAACAAUUUAGACUAUUUUAAGGGGAAAUUGAACAUGUUUUAAAGGUAAAUAUAUGAUUAAUGGCUUCUAGUAUUGAUGGCUAAUUGUGGCUCCCAAAAUUGUUGAUAAUCUACUUUGUACAUCAAAUGCUGGAAAGCAAAAGGUUAUGACUUUCCUUUUCAUGUUUGUGAGCUUCCUGACCUAAUUGUCUAUACAUAUUUAAGGUGUGUUUGGGGGUAAUAUGUAGUAAUAAAAAAUCAAGCAGCAGUUUCUGAUCUAUCAUAUUUGAUUGGUGCAUGCACUUGAUCAGAUCCAGCAAGUAUUUGCAAUCACAUGCAUCAAACUGGACACAUCACAUGGUGUAUAAAGCUCUUUAAAAUCCAAUAGGGAUCCUGUUGCAUAAACUACCAUUUGUAAUUCAGAAAAUGGCACCUAAUGCUUAAAAUCAGUACAGACUUCUUUAUGUAUAAUGAAGCUAUUACUGUCAUGAUUUGCUCACUUUCUUUACACCAUGUAUAGCAAUUAAAUGCUCUGAUAUGCUUCAAAGAUAUUUGACUACAUUGCCAAAGCAAUCAGCACUCUGGAGAGCGCUUGGCACCUUGUUUUGUUUACAAUCUGUAAAUACUCUAAAAAGAAAGCACAAAAGGAAAUUAAACUUGCAAUCACUGUAGUAUGAAACUAAUGAAAGAAUUAAUGGAUAAAGGUUAAAGGAGCUAUUUAGGGGUUCAUACAAGCCUAGAAUAAUCUGGAAGGCCUCAGAUUCUUCACCUGAGGAAGAAUCCAUACACAAUACAUGAAUUAAAAAAACCUAAACAAAUAUGAUUUCUUGGACUAAAACAGCAGUCCCAACAUUCCAAAAAAAAAGACUCAACAGGGCUCAGCAGGCACACUAAGCCUAACGGAGCCAGGUCUUGAGCAUCUUCCAGGUCUUUUGCUGCCAUGCAUAACUCCAGGGGGAUGCUGUUCCAGAGGACGGGAGCUGUAAUAUAUGAUUACUGCAGCAAGAUUAUUAUAUGUGCAGAGAUGGAAAGAUCUGCCACUACCCACUAUGGGGAAAUGGUUGGUGAAAUUUACUGAUCAAAUGGAUAGACUUCUUUGAUUAGAGAAGAUAUUAUCUAUAUUUAUUGGUGACUGGAAGCCUCUUAAUCACUUUUCGCAUAAAAAUGAACACAGUGAAGUUGUGAUUUUGAUGAUUAGACAGGAUAGAUUAUAGAAAGAAUAUAUUGUAAUUUUAGAGAAAGGUUAAAAUACUUCUACAAUAAUCGCUAUGAGGAAUAUUGGAAGCCAUUUCAUUUUUUUUCUUUUCUAUUAUUCUUCAACUUUUCUCUUUUCUUGUACUUUUUUCUUUUCCUUUCUUGCUUUAUAUUUGUUUGUAAUAGUUUUAUUUAUUUAUUUAUUUAUUUGGAUUUCCUAUUUCUUAACCACCCAUCUUUUAUGGGGGCCUUUAUUUUCUUGUUUAAGUCUUAAUAAAAAGUAUUUUAAUUUUUUAAUAAAAAUCAUUUUUCAUAGUGCCUCCCCACUUCAAAAAGUUGAUAGCAUUUCAUCCUUUCCCUCAAAAUAAUAGCUUUCAUUGCUCUCCAGUUUUGUUUAAUUCUACAGAAUAGCUACAUCCCUCAUAACAACUUUUUCCUUUCUUAUAAUAGAUCAACAGUGCAUUCAAAUUAUUUUCAUUACAUUUGAUAGCUGACUUAAAUGAUCGAUAACUUCCCGAAUUCUGAUGUAAAAGAUCAGUGAUAGUUUUUUUCUACCCAUGCCAAAAUAUAUUUUCAUUUGUCAGUUUGUUCUAGAUCCGCAGGAUUAACAAGAUACUACAAGGGAAAAGAAAAAAGUUGUUAUUGAAAAAAGAAAAUUGUACAUGUUGCCUGUUUCAGAAAAAUAUCAAAUAGAAAGAUGGCUCAGUAUGAAGAGAAGACUGAAUGGCAGGGAGAGGAAAUAGGUAUUAUACACAUACCAUCCAAGUCACAGAGGCUUCCAGAAAAUUGGCCUAGCAAGGAACUGUAGACAAUGGAGAUCAAAGGAAGACACAGAAACAGGGUGUUAGCUAAAUGUCAGUUCUCAUUUAAUGCUCUUUGAUAGCCUUAUUUGCAACAUUUACCACAUAAAUCAUCUAAAUAAAUAGAUGUUGUACACUCUUUUAACCAUCAUCAGUACAAAAAUAAAGCAACACAUUGCAUCAAUUAAAAUUUGCUCUGUCCUCCUUGUUUGUAUUACAAUCUCUUUUCGCAGCAAACACUCACAAAAAGGCAUUAAAACUGCAAUUUCUACAUUUUAAAAUUUUUGUUUGGAAUUUGUUCCCUGAACUCUUCCCUUUCCAAUACAUUCAAUUAGUCUGUACAAAACUCCCAAGAAGCUCAUUCUGUGCAAAGGAAGCUUUUGUGUGCAAAGGUAACUUGGGCACUGGGGUCAGGAAAAUAUCAACUCAAGUACCAUGCCAUUAAUGAGGGGUUAACGUCCCCUCCCAAAAUAAUACACAGGAAAAUAAAACAACACACCUGGUCUGUUUUUCUCCCAUCCACCAAAUACAUUGCCAUAUCUAUCCCAAAGAAAACAAGAUUAUAGGAAUAAGCAAUUAAUUCAGGCAGUCACUCUGACACAUCACACAGUGCAAACAACAAGAACACAACUCAAACCCUCUUAAAUGGGAUGUUCUUGGCACUAAAAUGUUUUCUAAGUUCAGUAGACAAUAAUAAUGCCCUGUUCUGAUUUUUUAAAUUUUUAAUUUUGUGGCAUUUUUGACCACACUUUUUCAAAAAAAAUAUGAAAGACUGUAACAGCCAUUAAGAAAAAGCUGCUGAACUAUUUAUAAUCCCAUAAAAUAGCUGGAUGCAGCUCCACAUCUCUAAUAAGUUAUUAAAGUGCAAUUUGUUAGGGAAAGAUGAACUCUAAAAAAUAUGCAUUAAAAUAUACAUCAUAUAUACAGACAUAAAUGGAAGAGUGUUACAAGGCUGCGUUUGACUAGCAUGCACAAAGCUGCAGGAAUCUAUCAGAAAUAACUUAUUGCUGGUAUCUGGAAAGUUUUUUGAGUUCAAGGGAAGUUUGGAAUUGUUCUAAAGAACAGUCAUUCUCUUUUUUCUAAAAUGAGGAACAUACUGUGCAGUUAGGUCUGAAAGGUCUAAUCACAAUUUAUAAAAGAAUUAGCAGCUUGGGGUCUACAAUGGCUAACUUUGUAUCUUAAUAAUGCCAUUCCUAAAUACAUGGAAAUAAGCAUUUAAAGUGCAAUCUUACAUUCAAAAGGAAGCAUCAAUGUGCUCACUAAUAUUUACUCCCAGUAAGAUGCAUAGGCCUACACCCUUGGUAUCAACUUUUAUGUAUUUAGAUUGGUUUUGCCAUAAUACAAACCUACAAAUUGGUUAUCAGAUGUACAGACAUACUACAUUACAGCCAAGUAAAACCAUUAAUGCAAAUAUACUUUGUAUCUCUUCCCACAAGGUAUAUGUGUGCAAAGUUUACUUGGGCCAAUUAAAAUAUGUAUUUUGAUACAUUAAAAUUUUCCUUCCUCCAAUGAAUUCUGUUCACUGUUAAACUUUAGACUAGUGUGGAGCCCAAUAUCUAUAUGGGUCUGAAAUUAUAAAUUGUUCAGGAUUCUUCAAAUCUGUUUUAAACCUGUACAUGUUUAAUCUUUAGCUCCAGGAAGUGAUAAAAAUUUGCCUUUUCAUAUUAGAUUUUUCAUACCAGGGGCUGUCUCUUUCAAGAAAGUUUCCUAUUAAUGAAAAGGAAAACUUAGUACAUUUCAACAUUUUUAACAAGUUCAUAUUUCCUAACAUUUCUUAAAGAAUGCUGUACUGUCUUGUGCAACUGACAGCCCAAGCUGUCAGCUGCUCCUAUUUCAUUAUCAAUCUGCAUAUCAAGCAACAACAACAUAACUAUACAAUAAUUUAUAAUAGUCUUCAUAACUAUUGCAGUUUUUUUUUCUUUAAUCACUCAGUGGCUUAAGGAAAAGAAUCUUUUUGGCAAGGAAUAGCAUCUAUUAAAGUGCUAUAUUACUGGAGGAUAUCAAAUGUACAUUUAUGUUAGAUUUCCUUAAUACAGAAUUUCAUCUAUCUCUCUCCCUCUUUUUUUUUUUACAUUUAUUCAUAUCUCUGUUGUUAUCUAACUUAAGAGCUUACUUUUCCAAAUCAUGCUGAAAAUACAAACAUGAAACAUCAAAUGAUCCUACCUUCUCUUUGGCACAAGGCAUUACAGCAUAUGCACAAAUAGCAUAUAUACAUCUUAGCUGCAGCAAAUUUAAAAAAAAA